AUACAAUACGGUAGCGCGACUUAUGAAAAAGGCCUAUCAGCCAUCUUGGAUUUUUUCUGCAGUGUUUGUAAACAAUCUGCAAUAUUUUGCAAUUUUUUUUUUUGCUCUCUGUGUGUAGAAUUGUUUUGGUUAUUCUGAAUUUCUGCAGGGAGAGAGUGUUGAUGGAUAUGGGCAAAGUUGUUAUUUUAAAAUGACUGGAACUGUGGCAAUAAGAGCAUUAAAAAGUUGAAAGCUGGCGCAUUCAAUGAACACAUUCCAGCAAUUGCACACUCUUACUACCGUUAGCUAUUAUGCGAAGCACGCGAAGGAAGGUAUUGCAAAGGCACCUUCCGCUGCUCCAUCGGAAAUAGGAUCGGAACCAGACAAUGAGGCGAAAACUGAGCAGCCACGGGGGAGCAGUGCCGAUAAGGAAAAUCAGCAUGAACGCGGGAUUUUUCGAAGGAAUAGGAAUCUACUCCGAAUAAAAUGUGGACAAGCACAAGCGCGAUGGGUUGUCGGAAAAAUGUCCCUGUUGCACUUAUCAUGCAGAUAAAAAAGAAUGAAAACGGUUCAAAGAUCGUCUACCAGGAGAAAACAACCAUUCAGAGCUUAGAUGGAAAGUGCGAAACAAACUGUAAAGUAAAUUUGAAUCAAACAAAAUUCGAUUUUAUUUCAUGAUGCUAAUGAUUUACCGAUCGACAUGGAAUUUCGUCAUAAAUGACUUCGCAUCGUUGCGAUGUGAAUGUUCGCUUAAUUUCGAUUCAAUUUCCUGCGCUGCGCUUCUAGUCAGAACCAGAGUAUUGAGUUUAAGCAUUGAGUAGACAUUCAGUCUAUAAACGUGCAUCAGAUUCAUAUAUUCGACUGCAUCCGCCCCAGCGGUGAUAUUCUUCGGCAUAGUAUCGCUGCUAUCGAUGAACAAAACUGACGGUCCCCAUGUUCACUCAUGAGCCAAAUCCUUUAGAUAUUGUGGAUCAUCUGUAGGAAUUUUCAAACUCUCGACAACAUGCAGAUCAUUCUUGGCAAAUUUGAUCGACAGCGAUGACAGCAAGAGACAUUUGUUCAAAGCCCCCAAAUAAAAUUAUUCUUAAAGAGCGUUCUGAUGUGUUACACUGCUUGCUGGGGCUAUACACAAUAUCUGCCAGUCUGAUCAUGCCGAGAGGCAGUAUUCCAGCUGCAUUCAGGAUACCUACGAAAAAGAUUUAAAAUUGUUCACAAAUCUGAAACUGGCGAUUGUUUAUUUGCGUAUAAAAAUGAAUAUGGGUUGCGACAGGUACAACUUAGAGGCGAAUGAACUCUACGAGUUUAAAGUCUCUAUAAUUCAACAACAACAACAACGACAGGUUUUCUAUACUAAUCUGAACAGAAAAGCCUUACAGAUUUUUAUCAAUCGGUAAUGAAUUGGUUUUAAACUUAUACUCAAUGAGAUUAUUGCAACUCUAUUGAACUAUUGAUACUCAUUUUUCAUUAAUCAACAGUAUGCAACACGUCAAUUUUGAAACAUAUGGAUAUGAUUUCUACAGAUCAACUUGUUAAAAUUGAACAGCUGUUCAGAAAAAAAACAUAUUUCAACAAUAUGUAAUAAAAGUAUUUAUAAUAUGUUGCAUCUCAGUACAACAUAAAACAUAUGAACAACAUAUUUGUGUAACGAAAUGAAGAAGAAAAACUCACAAGAUAUCUCGACAUUUUCUAUUUCAUCACUACUACUUCUUGCGCUGUCGGCGGGUUGAUUUUCAACUUCUCCCAAUUGAGUCCAGUGUCCAGGAUUCCCUGGUAAUGCUAGAAGUGAAAACAGUUUAUUAUACGGUUUUUAUUCAAUACGAUACACUCACCAUCAGCAUUGAUUCUUCGACGCCGCUCAACCGAGUAUGAGACAUUUUCGCACUCUUCAUUCCUUUCAUAGCACGAGGAAUCGAAAUGUUUCGAACAAAUAAUGUUCAGAUGGUGCUCAAUAAUCCAUUUUUCACUCUUGAUAAACAAUUAUU